rfam:Punica granatum cultivar Dabenzi scaffold1907, whole genome shotgun sequence.
GGGUACUAUCAUACCAGCCCUAAUGCACCGGAUCCCAUUAGAACUCCGAAGUUAAGCGUGCUUGGGCGAGAGUAGUACUAGGAUGGGUGACCUCCUGGGAAGUCCUCGUGUUGCACCCC